rnacentral:tRNA from 1 species
UCCCUGGUGAUCCAGUGGUUAAAAUUCAAUACUUUCACUGCUGUGGCCUGGGUUCAAUCCCUGGUCAGGGAA